GUUCGAGCGUCAUUACAACCCUCAAGCUCUGCUUGGUAUUGGGCGUCACCACCCGUGGUGUGCCCUAAAAUCAGUGGCGGUGCAUCCGGCUUCAAGCGUAGUAAUUCUUCUCGCUUCUGGAGCCGGGUGCGUGCUUGCCAGCAACCCCCAAUUUUUUUAAGGUUGACCUCGGAUCAGGUAGGGAUACCCGCUGAACUUAA
rnacentral:misc_RNA from 1 species